GGGUGGUGGUGGGGUGUGUGUGUGUGUGUGUAGGGGUUGUCAACUUCAGAGUUGUAUUUUACAAAGAGCAUCACUGUUCAUGCUAGAUACAUGACAUUACCAACAAAUGUCUUUCUUUUCUUCUCCCUCUUACUCUUUAGACAGCUGUCACUAAGUAGCCUAGGUUGACCUGGAACUUGCCUCAGCCUCCCAGCUACUGGGAUUACAGACUUGCAAAUGUAUACAAUGUUCUGAUGGCAAGCCUUUGCCUGCCUAU